AUGUUCAGCUUAGCCCUAAAUAACAACAAUCUGACUGGUCAAUUCCCUAAAUUUCUUGGGUCACAUAGAUUGAUGUUCCUUGACCUUUCUUACAAUAGGUUAUUUGGAGAAUUACCAGAAUGGUUGCCAGAAAAAAUCCCACAGUUGAAAAUAUUAAGAGUGAGAUCAAAUAUGUUUAGUGGUCAUAUUCCUAAGAAUUUCACUUCCCUUCGCCAUCUUCACUAUUUGGACAUAGCGCACAACAACAUGUCAGGAAGCAUACCAUGGUCUUUGUCAAACUUGAAAGCAAUCAUGGCAGUGGUGUCGCAUGACACGAAUGAUUUCUUUCCUGAAGAGAGCAUCCCAGUAAUCAUGAAGGAUCAAAAGCGUGACUAUACCUUUGCAAUCUACAAGCUACUAGUGAUUCUUGAUUUGUCAAGUAAUAGUUUGACAGGACAUGUUCCGGAGGAGAUAACUCUACUCAUUGGGCUUACCAAUCUAAACUUGUCAAAUAAUCAACUCACAGGAGCAAUCCCAAACCAAAUUGGUGAUUUAAGGCAGUUGGACUCACUCGACCUAUCCUUCAAUGAGUUUUCUGGUGCAAUACCAUCAAGCUUGUCAGCUUUAACUUAUCUGAGCUACAUGAACUUGUCAUACAACAAUCUGUCCGGUGCAAUACCAUCUGGACAACAGCUACAAGCUCUUGAUAACCAGAUGUAUAUCUACAUUGGUAACCCUGGUCUUUGUGGAGAUCCUGUCGGCAGGAACUGCUCAACACAUGAUGCGGAGCAAAGUGACCUUGAAGAUGUAGAUCAUAUGCCAUCUGUUUAUCUUGCCAUGAGCAUUGGAUUUGUGGUGGGUCUGUGGAUAGUUUUCUGCACCAUGUUGAUGAAGAGAACAUGGAGGGCUGCCUUCUUCCAGUUUGUUGAUAUGAUAUACGACAUGGUUUAUGUGCAAGUGGCUGUAAGGUGGGCUCACAUGAUGGAGACAACUCAAGACAGUGCACCAUGA
rnacentral:rRNA from 1 species